rnacentral:lncRNA from 1 species
CUGGGAAUCAAUGUGUGAGGUGGUGCUAUGUAGCAGGAACCCCUCUUGCUUUGCAAAUAGUUUUUUGUUUGUUUUCCUUUUUGCCCAAUAGAGCCCUGCUCUACUGACCCUUCAAUGUGCCCGUGUGCCUAAAUAUUCCUGGUCGUGUGAAAAGAACCCAGGUAUUAGCUGAACUAAGGAGCACAAUUCUGCAACAUUUUGGCACCCAAACACGGGGCUUGAGAAAUGAAUGCAAUUGGAGAAACUGGUUGUUUUACCAGGCGUUGAUUGGAAAUGUGUGCUUCCCUUUAAGCAGUCAAGCUCAACUUGCAGAACUGAUGGGAACCCCUUGGGAAAACUGGCCUCAAAUGUUUGUCUACACAGUCCACAUACAGGGUUCUUAACCUGCGUUUUUACCUACAUUUUAGACUGACCCUGCUUGUGCCUGUGAACCAACCAACAAUCUCUGGCUGCAGCUCAGAAAGGACAAAAGAGAAUGGAUGAGGGAAACUUCCCAGGGCUUGUCUGGGUAUGCCCACAGUGGACUGGAGCCCAAAAUGCACACUGGAGGAAGUGGAUGGAGCCACGUGGAUGUCAUGCCUUAUGCAGGGGAGGAGCCUGCUCUCUUCAGCUCCUGUGGUAAUGUGGGAAUCGAUCUGUGAGGAAACACUUUCUGAAAAUGUCAGAACUCUUGAAAACAUGGAUGAGGAAAAGCAUAAGUACUGCUUUAUGCUUUUCUUAUGAAUUUUAAAAGAUGUAAUUUAAAGGUACUUUAAAGUGAUAUUUGUGCCCUUGUAACUGAUUCAAAGUAGACUGCUAAGGACAAUAAGUAAUAAGAGUCUACAAAUAUCAGUAAAUUAUGAGAAAAAACGGUCUAAUGGUACUUAAAAUUGCAUUGUGAUUUAUUAAAUAACAUUGAACAGCUCCACCUGUAACAUUAAGAUUCCAUUUGAGCAUAUAGAAAAUAUAUUUAUCGCAACCUGAAGUGAUUUGGAAAGUAUGCUGGGAAGAAAAUAUAUUUACAAAUUAGUCUCAGAGGGUAGGUAUCCUGUAGCCAGAUGGAAUAAGAAGAGAGGGAAGGGAGAUUUUGUUCAAAGGGGGAGCAUAAGCUAAGGAAUAAAGCCACAAACAAUGAUUAAAUUAGGUAAAGUGCAAUUAGCUGAAUAUUGCAUAAGCAUACAUAUGGGAAGAAGUGGAAAAAGGAGUGACAAUAUGAAGCUAAAGGGUUUGAAGUGUUCAAGAUAAUACUAGGCUUCCUAGCCUAUUCCGAGACAUCUUGUUUUAGAGUGCAAUAGAUAAGAACUCUAAGGAUGAAAGUAGGAGACAUGCAUUCUAGUCUACGUUUUGGUUAAUGGACUGAAAGUGAAAGAUGGACUGAAAUUGGGGGAUGGAAUAAAAAUGUGAUAGAAUAGAAAAUAGAAAAAGCAAUUAGCCUAAUGUCAUUGAUACUUAGAGAAAAUAUGGAAAAUAGUAAAUUAGUGAUAUAUAUCUUUUCUAAUUCACCAGGGUGAGUGAACAAAGGAAAUCGGAUUUAAAAGUAUUCAUGACAUAGAUGCAAUAAGGUUUCUCAGUCAGACAUAGCAAAUUGAGGGAAGGGAAGAUUUAGAGGAUUGGAAAAUGUCUUGCUUGUAGACUAAUAGGAUAUCAAUAAGCCAUAUGAGCAAUAAUUUGAAAUAGUUUUUGUAAAGUAUCAUGAAGGUAAACCCUGUUUAGAACAAAUUAGAUUUGAAGUACUUGUGACAAAUGCAAUUGACAAUGCCUUUAUGCAGCUGGAAAAUUGUUGCUUAGCAGAAAAGCUUGUGCUGGACAAAUAGAUGUCCAAAUUGAAUAGAUGUUUUCUUAAGCUGAACUAAUUGAGACAAAUAUCCUUAUUAAAUCAAAAAA